rnacentral:rRNA from 1 species
UACGUAGGGGGCUAGCGUUGUCCGGAAUCAUUGGGCGUAAAGCGCGUGUAGGCGGUCCGGUAAGUCCGCUGUGAAAGUCGGGGGGCUCAACCCUCGGAUGCCGGUGGAUACUGUCGGGCUCGAAUCCGGAGAGGUGAGUGGAAAUUCCUGGUGUAGCGGUGAAAUGCGCAGAUAUCAGGAGGAACACCAAUGGCGAAGGCAGCUCACUGGGACGGUACUGACGCUGAGGCGCGAAAGCGUGGGGAGCAAACAGG